GGCGGGAUGGCAGAGUGUUUAUGCGACGGUGUGCAAAGCCGUAUAGGCCGGUUAGAUUCCGAGCUCCCGCCUCCA
rnacentral:tRNA from 1 species